AUGUCUUUCUGCCUGCCAGUGGCCUCUUUGGUGCUUUUACCAUUUCUGAACCUGAUUCUCUGGCCUUGAUGAGUACGUGAGCUUCCUAAUACUGUUUUUUUUUGUUUGUUAGUGGUGUUGUUUUGUUUUUGUCUUUUUUAUUUUGUUGCGAGUGCCUCUGUGUGUAUAUGUGUGUGUGUGUGUGUGUGUGUGUGUGUGUACGUGUACAUGUGAUUAUUUCAUGUGGAGCACCUUUUCUUUUGACGCCCUUCCCUCCUUUCCUCUACCCCUUUGUGUAGCUUAGUCUUGCACUUGGGCUCUGACUACUGCUAGGCCAGCCUUGUAAUGAAGGAUCUACAUCCACAUCCCACAGAGUUACCUUCUGGUUGGUGCUAGUAAGCCUGGCUUGUCCAGAUGAAAAGCACUCAACAUAGGUCCUGGACAUGGAGGUUCACCAUAGCAGUGUUGUGCUGCAGGAAGUUACCACCUAUGCAAGCUAUGCACGGGUUCCUAAGAGUAUCUGAGUUGACAUUAAUAGUUGGCCUAACUGUAUUCCUGGAAAUAAUUCCAUUCAUCAGCCUUUAAUGACAUUUCCCAUUAUAUGUAUUUUAGCAGAGAAAUCGCUCUCUUCUAAAAUGUUCUUUCUCUUUUUUCUGGUUCUUCAAAUAUGAAUGGGCUUCUCCUUGGAAGACCUCAGGGCAGGGUUAUCCUUUCAGUAACUGUCUUGUGUCCCUGAACAGAAGCAACAGGAGAGCUGUGGAGUCAGGGCCUCCAGGGCCUCAGGCAGGCUCUGGGAGGCAGGCCGAGGGGACUGACUGUACUUGGAGCUUCGGUUCAGUCUCCUUAGAAACGGUGUGAACAUGCUUUGGAAACCUGAGCUGGCGUUCGGCAGUGUGAGAAUACAACACUUUGGAAGCCACAAAGAUUCAACCUUCUGGCCCAGACCACAUGCCUGGCAUCCUGUCAAAUGUGCGACUCCAUUGUUUCAUGCAGUCUUCACUUAAACCAAAGGAAACGAAUCAGAUUUCUGUGUGUCCUUCCGUGUGUCUCUAUUAUGUGCCUUUCGUGGAGUCAGGUAUCAACUUGUUUUUAAAACCUGCUCAUUGCCAGUGAACAGGAGAGUUGUGUUCCACACAGCCUCAUCUCCCAGGGCCUCAUCUUCCAGAACUUUGCUAUACAUUAUUUACUCUGCUCUGUCUUAGUUCAUUUGUGGGCUGUACUCGUGAGUGUUCGCUGAGUGUCUUAGACAGUUGAAAUUGCAGAAAACGUGCUUGGAGGAAAUGGCCCAGGGCUCGUGUUGUAGGACCUCUCUGUGGAUGUUAGGACUUUUAAAAAGAAACUUUAAACACAUAAACCUCUAGUAAUUUUCAAGAUGUUUAAAUACAUACAGCUCUAAUAAUUUUCACGAUGUUUUAAUCUUGGAAAACCCAGAAAAGUAAAAAGCAACAUCAAAACUAAAAAUUUUUUUUAAAAAGAAAACUAAAAAUCUUCUUUUAUUCCAUUAUCCAAGGGGAACCUGUAUUAACAUUAAUAUUUCCUUUCAUAUUUUCAUGUUAAUAUAUUUUUUCUUUCCUUCAUUAUUUGAUUGUAUCUAUAUGAUUAAAUAGUAUAAUUGCAAGGUAAUGAAUUUGCUUAUAAAUUUAGAAAACAGUGAACAUUUUAAAAAAUCUGCAUGCUUAUCACUUAAAUAGUAUUUUUUUCUUAAAAGUAUUAUUUUUAUUAUUGCAUAGUGUCCGCAUUGACCAUCAUAUUUCAUGCUGUGAAUCUUUUGUCCUAUUGUCAUAUCGGUGGAAGAUUCGUUAGCAUUCCCUAGCCCAGUUUAGCUCAGAUAAGAAUGAUCCCCACGUGGGAAUCCCCACGCGGCGAUCUUAUUCAGCCCCAGCGACUUUCACUCCCUUUAUCCUCUCACUCUGCCCCCUUCAACAAGUGCUUCCAGAGAUGACCUGGCAAACUUGCCGUGGCAGCCACUGAGGGAGGAAAGGCAUGGCGAGCUGCCAGGGGAGAUCUGCUUGGACUACCUGCCUUACCUCACCUAAUCCCAUUGUCUGAGACUGGCUGGCUCCGGGCUGUGUAGACCAGGCUGGUAUGGAGUUCACAAAUAUCUGCUUUCCUUUGCUGCCUGAGUGCUGGGAUUAAAGAUGUGCACCACCACAGCUGGCCCAGUAUUUAGACUUAACCUUUUUCUUUUUCUACUCCUUUUCUCUCCUUUCCCCUCCCCUCCCCUUUCUCUUCCUCUUCUUUCUCUUCCUCAUCCUCCUCCUAGUAUUGCAUUUGUUUAUUUAUUUGUGUGUGUGUGUGUGUGUGUGUGUGUGUGUGUGUGUGUAAAAGCCAUAGCACUUAUGUGGUGAUCAGAGGGCAUCUUGCAGGAGUGGGCCCUCCAUUCACCAUGUGGGCUCUGGGUGUCCAAUCAUAAGCCAUCAGGGUUAUAGGCAAGCACCUUUCCCUCUUUGGCCCCAGUAUUUAGACCCAUGAGAGAACCUUUGGUCUUUGAUUGGAGGCUGAUGUGAUAAUGGGCCACAUCAUCAGGAUGCUCAUCCCCCUCUACUUUGCUGGUUAUUUUCAGCAUACAGUUUGCUUGGCUGUAAAGUUGUGACUAAUAUGUACCUAACAGCUGAUUUAGAUUUAGGAAGAAAGAAGGAAAGCCUAGUGCAUGCCUUGUAGAUGAGAGACUCACUAAGUUCCCUUUUCUCUUCAGAGUGAACAAAACCAGUGCUUUGAGCUUUCAUCAGAAGAAUAAAAUAGCUAUUAACAAUGCCAAUAGCAUAUAAAAAAUAAAAUUUCUCAGUGCUUUUGUGAUAGCAGCUAAGUGUUAAACUCAAUUUAUUUACAUUCUCAGAUGACUUGAUAUUGAAUAUAUUAUUACUCAUAUUUUGCUAGUUGGUAUUUUCUAGGAAGAUGGUGGUAUAUGAAGUCCAAAGCUGCAUAAUUUUUAAAGAAAAUGAAAAUCACAUUGCAACAGAAUAAAUAUUACCAAAAGAAUUAUGCUUUUAAGAUGCUGUGCCAUUCUCCAAGGUGGUUAUUAUAGACACUGACAGUGUUUAGCAUGCUCAUAAAUAGCACUAACUCUCCACCUGCAUUUUCUAGGUUAUCUACAAAAUAUAGAAACUCUGGAAAUAAAUUAGAAGCUUUAAAGGGAUGAUACCGCUUCAUCUACCUUAGAAUGAAAAUUGAUGUGUAAACAGCCAGCCUCAAUUAUGUAUUUUUUUCUUCAUUCAGUGUAGAAUAAACUAAGACAUUUGGGAGCCUGUUAUUUCUCUCAAAUUAAAUGUGAACCCAGUAUUGCAAUUUUUCUUUUCUCUUUAGCCUUUUGAGUGAAUGUAAUAGUUACUGCUGUAUGAGGAAAAGGAAACAGAUGGGGCGUAGCUAACAUCCAAAUAACACUAGAAGUAUUUUAUAUGCAAAAUUGGAACUUCUCAGUGUCUUCAGCUGCUGUGUGUGGAAGAAAAAGAAGCAGCUGUAAAUACAUACAUAAUUUCUGUCAGUAACUUCACCAGCAUCAUACACAGGUGAAAACAUCUAGAUUCUUUUUGGACACUCGCUCAGACUUUCUUUUUCCCCUUCUGUGGAUGCAGUUUACAGUCACUGUUGGCAUACAGGACAGGGUUGCAGGGUGGCAGGGUGCCUUUCACAACCCAUCACCCUUUUGCUCCUUCCCAUGUCCCCUGUGUGUCCCUGUCUUGUCAUCUUUGUUCAUAGUUGUUCUCUACAGUGCGACUACUUGUCUUUUUCUUCCAUCCUUUUUAUUAAAAAUAUGUAUUUUUCUCACAUAAUAUGUUUUGAUUACAGUUUCCCCUCCCUUUAUUCCUCCCAAUUCCUCCCACCUCCCCUUCCAUCCAGAUCCAUCCUUGUCUCUCAUAAGAAAACAAGCAGGUUUUUAGGUAUAGUAGUAAAGUAUAAUAAGAUAAAAACUAACACAUCAGAAUAGGACAAAACACACAGAAGGAAAAGAACCCAAGAAAAAGCACAAGAAACAGAUGCAGACCCAGAGACUCACUCGUUCACAUACUUAGAAGUCCCAUAAAAAACACCCCACAUAACUGGGAGUUAUAUAUGCAGAGGACCUCUAGGGUAAAGGUAGAGAAAAAAAAAUCUCAAUAUAUUAAUAAAGUAAAAUUAAAAAUCAAAAUUAAGAUAGAAUAAAAAGU
rnacentral:lncRNA from 1 species